AGGAUGAACGCUGGCGGCGUGCCUAACACAUGCAAGUCGAACGUCCUGUCUCGCAAGAGGCAGGGAGUGGCGGACGGGUGAGUACCACGUGGGUUAUCUACCGUGAGGUGAGGAAUACCGGCGAGAAAUCGCCGACAAGACCGCAUAGCCUCGGUGCAAGCCGAGGAAAGCUUUCUCGAGAGAGGGAGCGCCACACGAGGAGCCUGCGCCCGAUUAGCUAGCUGGUGGAGUAACGGUUCACCAGGGCGACGAUCGGUAGCUGGUCUGAGAGGACGAUCAGCCACACUGGGAUUGAGAACGGCCCAGACUCCUACGGGGGGCAGCAGUGAGGAAUUUUCGUCAAUGGGGCAACCCUGAACGAGCAACGCCGCGUGCAGGAGAAGGUUUUCGGAUCGUAAACUGCUUUUCUCGGGGAAGAGAACGGACGGUACCCGAGGAAUCAGCCCCGGCUAACUACGUGCCAGCAGCCGC
rnacentral:rRNA from 1 species